AUGGCUGACGCUCAUGUGCCGCCUGAAGUUAAUGUGGUGCCCGAAGUGAUUGCACCUGAAGUCAAUGCUGCACCUGAUGCAAAUCUACAGCCUGAAGUCACCACCACAACCACUGCCACUGCUCCUGUACCGCCUCCAAGGCCACACACCAUCGAGCAAGCAUUUGAUCGUGGUCAGUUGGUCACCGUUAGAUGGCCCAUUCUGGUUCCUCCACCUGCUGCUGGUCCGCAAUUUGACUAUCAUAUCGAGCACAGGCCUCAGGUCCAGAAGCCGAAGCCAAGGUUGCCCAGGUUUCCAGGAACAACAACUUCACCAGGGUCAUUCAAUGCAAAUGGCUUCAUUGCGCACUACACUUUCUUUGAUAGCACCAAGAACCCCUACACCAAGCCAAGAAUUUCAUCAGAUCGGUUCUGGAGCUAUCAACAGCGCAGCUACUAUUCAUGUGUUCUCUAUGAGCAAGGGCGCAUCUUCCCACACAUGCGUCUAGAUUGUGAAGCCAUUGCUAGACUGCCCUGCCUUGAAGAAGCCCUAGACUGCUUCCGUGAUGCUGGUCUGCUGAACUUUGUGACUGAGAAGGAGCAUUGGAAUGAAGAGCUUCUGCUACAAUUUUAUGCUACCCUCCACAUUCGCGGCUACAACAGGGAUCCGAAGACUUGGGUCCUUGAGUGGAUGACAGGCAAAACGUCCAUCAUGAAGCCAAAGCUCUUGAUAUCAUUGAGCUAA
rnacentral:rRNA from 1 species